UUUCAUUCCUUCACUCCUUGACCUCCUCUCUUGUUCCUAGUUGCUCCAAUGGUCCCUUAUAACUUCCAAUUGGUGCUUGGCUUGAUCAAUUGCUUGAUGUGUUCAUCGGGUCAACUUUUAGAUAAUUGCAAUUUGGUCCCUGAAUUUUCUCUUUGCUUCAAUUUUGUCCUUUUUCGGCUCUUUUCUCCUGAAUUCCACUAUUUCCAUAGAAUUUC
rnacentral:lncRNA from 1 species